rnacentral:rRNA from 1 species
GGACUACCCGGGUAUCUAAUCCCGUUUGCUCCCCUGGCUUUCGCGCCUCAGCGUCAGAAAAGGUCCAGUGCGCCGCUUUCGCCGCCGGCGUUCCUUCUGAUAUCAACGCAUUUCACCGCUCCACCAGAAGUUCCGCGCACCCCUACCUUCCUCCAGCCCGCCGGUAUCGAAGGCACUUCCGCAGUUGAGCUGCGGGAUUUCACCCCCGACCUCGCGAGCCGCCUACGCGCCCUUUAAGCCCAGUGAUUCCGAACAACGUUCGCACGGUUCGUCUUACCGCGGCGGCUGGCAC